AUCUUUUCACGCCCCUUUCAUUUCACCUUAGCCAUGAAGAAGAGGACCUCAUGGUGCUGUGGUCGCAUGAUUUGUUUGUGGUUUUGGUUUGUCAAAGUACCUUCACACCAAAGCUGGCCAUUUCCACCCGUAAGCAGUCGGCAAACGCCUCCAGUCCUCGCUUUGACACGCUGUAACUUCCCAUGUUCAGACAGUUGAAGAAAGAGAAGAUGCUCGACACGAAAACCAUCCGGCCUCACGCACCAAAGGCAGGAAGGCCACAGUCAUUCUGAUGCAGCCAAAGAGGUUGAUGUCCACCAUGUGGCGGAAGUCUUCUAUUGUGCUCCACUCUAUCUCUGCCCAGUCUGAGAUGCCGGCGUUGUUAACCACUGCCCACAGGCCUGGAGAUAAGCAAGUUCUCCUUGACAAUCCUCUUUGCCUGCUGCACAUCUGCAUCACUGGUGACAUCCAGUUUGAGGAUUUUCAAAUUACCGGAGCUCUCUCUGGCCAGGUUCUGGGCAUCCAUUCCCUGUGGAAACAAACAGCCGGCAAAGACCACAAACCCCUUGCGGUCCAAGCAUCGAGCCAGCUCGUAUCCAAAGCCGCUGUCACAGCCGGUUAUCAGCACGGCGGAGCCAUGUCCAUCUACUGGAGAACGGCACUGCCGGCGGGAUAAAAGUUUACCAAAGGCAAGGAGCAGGAUAGCCAAGACAGGCAUGAUGCAAAGGAGUUGGGAGGUGGAUAAAGAGGCGUUCAUGUUGGCGAGGCGUCAGUAAAUCAUUCUCUGUGAAGCAUCUGUUGGUGCACCCCAUCAGCCAGUUCUUUAUACUGGUGAAUGUUAUAACACAAUUUGUUCAGGUUAGCAUGUGACUUCUGACACCUCAUUGCCUCAUAUCUGGUAUUGCAUGUGAAAUCAAACAGACAUGCCUAUACUGUACAUCCCUUACAACACAAUUCCAAUAAAUAGAGUUGAUCUUAUCUCACUCAAAUGUUUUCAGUGAUGUAUGUGUGUAUGGUGUAAAAGGUCAAGCAAUUCCACUGUUAAAUGCUUUAAAACUGCUCGUUCACAGCUCUAGUGUUUUGACAGUGAAAACGUAACAGUUCAUGUACAGUGAUCCCUAGUUUAUGGCGAGAGUUAUGUUCCGGACCACCCCCGCAAUAGGUGAAAGCCGCAAACUGGUGGCCAUGUUUUUAUUUUUUUAAAUUAUUUUUUUAGACAUUUUAAAGGUGUAUGAAUCUCCCCAGUCCCACACUUAUUAAUCUU